rnacentral:hammerhead_ribozyme from 1 species
GCAUUACUGAGGAGUCUCAAAAUAGAACGAAACGAUUGUCCAGUGC